UGGGGAAUUUUGGACAAUGGGCGAAAGCCUGAUCCCAGCAAUGCCGCGUGUGUGAAGAAGGCCUUCGGGUUGUAAAGCACUUUUUGUCCGGAAAGAAAUCCUUGGCUCUAAUACAGUCGGGGGAUGACGUACCGGAAGAAUAAGCACCGGCUAACUACGUGCCAGCAGCCGCGGUAAUACGUAGGGUGCAAGCGUUAAUCGGAAUUACUGGGCGUAAAGCGUGCGCAGGCGGUUUGCUAAGACCGAUGUGAAAUCCCCGGGCUCAACCUGGGAACUGCAUUGGUGACUGGCAGGCUAGAGUAUGGCAGAGGGGGGUAGAAUUCCACGUUAGCAGUGAAAUGCGUAGAGAUGUGGAGGAAUACCGAUGGCGAAGGCAGCCCCCUGGGCCAAUACUGACGCUCAUGCACGAAAGCGUGGGGAGCAAACAGGAUUAGAUACCCUGGUAGUCCACGCCCUAAACGAUGUCAACUAGUUGUUGGGGAUUCAUUUCC
rnacentral:rRNA from 1 species